CCCUUAGAUGUUCUGGGCCGCACGCGCGCUACACUGAAGGAAUCAGCGUGCUAAAACCAUUGUCGAAAGGCAUUGGUAAACCCAUUAAAAUCCUACGUGAUUGGGAUCGGGAAUUGCAAUUAUUUCCCUUGAACGAGGAAUUCCCAGUAAGUGUGGGUCAUAAGCUCGCGUUGAUUACGUCCCUGCCCUUUGUACACACCGCCCGUCGCUGCCCGGGACUGAGCCGUUUCGAGAAAAGCGGGGACUGCUGCUGUCGGGGCUUUCGGGCCUUGGCUUCGGUGGAAACCGCUUUAAUCGCAGUGGCUUGAACCGGGCAAAAGUCGUAACA
rnacentral:rRNA from 1 species